rnacentral:rRNA from 1 species
UACGUAGGGUGCGAGCGUUGUCCGGAAUUAUUGGGCGUAAAGAGCUCGUAGGCGGUUUGUCGCGUCGGCCGUGAAAACUUGGGGCUUAACCCCGAGCCUGCGGUGGAUACGGGCAGACUAGAGGUAGGUAGGGGAGAAUGGAAUUCCCGGUGUAGCGGUGAAAUGCGCAGAUAUCGGGAGGAACACCGGUGGCGAAGGCGGUUCUCUGGACCGAUACUGACGCUGAGGCGCGAAAGCGUGGGGAGCAAACAGG